rnacentral:rRNA from 1 species
GGAUGAACGUUGGCGGCGUGCCUAAUACAUGCAAGUCGAACGAAGACUGUAGUAAUACUGUCUUAGUGGCGAACGGGUGAGUAACGCGUGGGUGACCUGCCCCGAAGUGUGGGAUAACAGUCCGAAAGGAUUGCUAAUACUGCAUAAUAUCCAAGAGAUUAGAUGCUUUUGGAUUAAAGGAGUAAUUCGCUUCGGGAGGGGCCCGCGUCCCAUCAGCUAGUUGGUAAGGUAAUGGCUUACCAAGGCGAUGACGGGUAGGGGACCUGAGAGGGUGGCCCCCCACAAUGGAACUGAAACACGGUCCAUACACCUACGGGUGGCAGCAGUAGGGAAUAUUAGUAAUGGGCGAAAGCCUGAACUAGCAACGCCGCGUGUGCGAAGAAGGCCUUCGGGUCGUAAAGCACUUUUUGAGAGGAUGAGGAAGGACGGUACUCUCAGAAUAAGUCUCGGCUAACUACGUGCCAGCAGCCGCGGUAACACGUAGGAGGCAAACGUUAUCCGGAUUUACUGGGCGUAAAGCGCGUGUAGGUGGUUUGGUAAGUAGGGCGUGAAAGCUCCUGGCUCAACUGGGAGAGGACGUUCUAAACUGCCAAGCUUGAGGAUGGUAGAGGGAGGUGGAAUUCCGGGUGUAGCGGUGGAAUGCGCAGAUAUCCGGAGGAACACCAGUGGCGAAGGCGGCCUCCUGGACCACUCCUGACACUCAGACGCGAAAGCUAGGGUAGCAAACGGGAUUAGAGACCCCGGUAGUCCUAGCCCUAAACGAUGUAGACUUGGCGUCGGUGGUUUAAUCGCCAUCGGUGUCGUAGCUAACGCGAUAAGUCUACCGCCUGGGGACUACGGCCGCAAGGUUAAAACUCAAAGGAAUUGACGGGUCCCCGCACAAGCAGCGGAGCGUGUGGUUUAAUUCGAUGCAACGCGAAGAACCUUACCUGGUCUUGACAUCCACGGAACUUUCCAGAGAUGGAUUGGUGCCUUCGGGAACCGUGAGACAGGUGCUGCAUGGCUGUCGUCAGCUCGUGUCGUGAGAUGUUGGGUUAAGUCCCGCAACGAGCGCAACCCUUGUCCUUAGUUGCCAGCACGUAAUGGUGGGAACUCUAAGGAGACCGCCGGUGACAAACCGGAGGAAGGUGGGGAUGACGUCAAGUCAUCAUGGCCCUUACGACCAGGGCUACACACGUACUACAAUGGGAAGGACAGAGGGCUGCAAUCCCGCGAGGGGGAGCCAAUCCCAGAAACCUUCUCUCAGUCCGGAUCGGAGUCUGCAACUCGACUCCGUGAAGUCGGAAUCGCUAGUAAUCGCAGAUCAGCCAAGCUGCGGUGAAUACGUUCCCGGGCCU